GCAUUUAGGAGGCUCAGGCUGAAGGAUCCUUGUGAAUCCGAUACUAGCCUGGGCUACAAAGUGAGCUCAAGCCCAGCCUGAACUGCAUAGUGAGGCUCUGCCUCA